rnacentral:rRNA from 1 species
CCUACGGGAGGCAGCAGUGGGGAAUUUUGGACAAUGGGCGCAAGCCUGAUCCAGCCAUGCCGCGUGCGGGAAGAAGGCCUUCGGGUUGUAAACCGCUUUUGUCAGGGAAGAAAAGGUUCUGGCUAAUACCUGGGACUCAUGACGGUACCUGAAGAAUAAGCACCGGCUAACUACGUGCCAGCAGCCGCGGUAAUACGUAGGGUGCAAGCGUUAAUCGGAAUUACUGGGCGUAAAGCGUGCGCAGGCGGUUAUGCAAGACAGAGGUGAAAUCCCCGGGCUCAACCUGGGAACUGCCUUUGUGACUGCAUAGCUAGAGUACGGUAGAGGGGGAUGGAAUUCCGCGUGUAGCAGUGAAAUGCGUAGAUAUGCGGAGGAACACCGAUGGCGAAGGCAAUCCCCUGGACCUGUACUGACGCUCAUGCACGAAAGCGUGGGGAGCAAACAGGAUUAGAUACCCUGGUAGUCCACGCCCUAAACGAUGUCAACUGGUUGUUGGGAGGGUUUCUUCUCAGUAACGUAGCUAACGCGUGAAGUUGACCGCCUGGGGAGGACGGCCGCGAGUAGUUAACGUUACGUAAAGAAGUUAGUACGGCGNGAGAGNGCGACGGACGACGACGAGGGAGGAGG